UGUGGGAGCGAGCCUGCUCGCGAAGGCGUCGGUCCAUCCGACAUAUCUAUUAGCUGGGCCACCGCUUUCGCGAGCAGGCUCGCUCCCACA
rnacentral:antisense_RNA from 1 species